ensembl:lncRNA
UGACAUUUUUAAGCAUCUGUUUGAAAGUAAAAGUAAAAGUGAAAGUGUUAGACGUUCAGUCGCGUCCAGUUCUUUUUGACCCCGUGGACAAAGCUUGUCAGGCUCCUCUGUCCAUGGGAUUCUCCAAAGCAAGAAUACUAGAGUGGGUUGCCAUGACUUUCCCCAGGGGAUCUUCCCGACCAGGGAUCAAACCUGGGUCCCCCACGUUGCAGGAAGAUUCUUUACCAUCUGAGCCAUCAGGGAAAUAUUUAUCUGAGUAAAUGUCAGUUCCAAUUGGCAGUACCAAACAGGAAGCAGUUAGUAGUUCUUCAUCCAAGGGAGUUAGGGGCAAGAUUUAUUGAGAAGAUUCAGCAAGCAAGUCAAAGAAAGGACUUGACUGGCUAUAGCUUAAGCAGUGCCUUAUUAGGGAAAGCCUAGUUGCUUAGCUGUGAUUGGUUGUCCUUGGGUUUCAUUUCAUAACUUGAAGGCAUUUAUUGGCUUCCUUCUAGUUUGCUUGCAUAGGCUGCUAAGUCAUUGGAGUCUUCUUAGAAUAAUGGUCUUCUUGUUUAAUUAACUUAAUAGAAAAAAUUAUCCAGGCCACACUGUCUUCAUCUUUUUAAUUCCCCCAAAGGAAGUGAGCAUUGGUUUAUAAGCACAUUCUCUCAAAAGAUGAGAAACAAUAAUUUCCAGAUUUAAAAACAAAAACAGAAACCAUAGGUCUGAACAUCUAGGGCACCUGGAUGGAAACGUGAGACUUUUAUGGAGGAUAUACGGUUUUUAACAUUUUUGGGAUUCCCAGGUAGCUCAAACAGUAAAGAGUUUGCCUGCAAUGCGGGAAACCAGGAUUCAGUCUCUGGGUUGGGAAGAUCCCCUGGAGAAGGAAACGGCAACCCACUCCAGUAUUCUUGCCUGGAAAAUCGCAUGGAUAGAGGAGCCAGGCAGGCUAGGGUUCAUGGGGUUGCAAAGAGUCAGACAAGACUGGGUGACUUCACUUUCACUUUAAUAUUUUUACUUAAGAAUGGAUAUGUAUAUGUCCUUAUGCUAUGGGGGAAAACAAGUCAAUGUACAGUUUAGUUGAUACAAAAUAAAUAUAAGUAUACAAAAACAAGGCAGUGGUUAAG